UGAGAAAGAAAAGGGGCUACUGAGCUGGGCUAUACUCUUCCUACUUCCUAGUCUCCUACACAAACAAAAAAUUUCGCCUCAUUGUCUUGCUGUCUCUCUCACAAAUUUGUUCUGUGUUGCCUCUGAAAUCGUGCAAAGCCUAAAGACCAGCUGCACAGCAUCAAUCUCUCUGCAAAAACACCCUUUCAUUAAACAACACAAACUGCUAAACAACAAUUUUUCUCAUUCAUUACUCUCCGAUUCUCUGUUAUCUCAUUUAAAAUCCAAUAUUUUUUUUUUUGAGUUUUUUCUUCUCUCUCCUAGGGUUUGAAUAUGGUGAUUUUCUCUGAUUUUGAAGAUGCCCAUUUCCCCAAACUUGCUCAAUUUCUCUUUUGCUUGAAAACCCAUCAUUUCUUGGCGUUUUUAGCAAAUGGGUUUGCGCCUAAUUGGUCCUGCAAGAGCCACCGAGAUCUUGUAACACAAGAACGAGUACCUUGCGGUACGUUGUUAACGUUGAACUUAAUGGUUUGACUUUGCAUUGAUUUGAAUUGGAGGAAGUGGUGCAAGGGUGGGUAGGGGGAAUGAAGCAAUUGGUCCGUGGAACUCUGGUAUGUAUAUCGAAAUUUUCUGUAAAGUAUUGGUACACUUUAUUUAUCUGGAUUACUGCUAACAUGCUGCGAUUCAUGUAAGCGAUUAAUGUAUUUAUGGAGCUGUGUCACCAUAGCCAUUUUAGAACUUAUGUAUUGGUUAUUCUGGGGUGAUAUUCUUUUGGAUAUGUUCUAGGUUGUAAUCAAGAAAAGAAAUUAAGUUUAUCGUAUUUUCUGCAUUUUAUUUCAUCUCUAAAGCUCCUAGCUCUCUGUUGAGGUAUAGAAGAACCACAUUACAAAGGGCAUUGUUGUCGUUCAACACAGCACGGAGGGAUUUGAUCGACCCUCCAACUGGCUGAAUGAAGCAAUAACUUAUAAAUAGCAGCUUCUUUGUGCA